rnacentral:rRNA from 1 species
GAUUAUGGCUCAGGAUGAACGCAGCGACAGGCUUAACACAUGCAAGUCGAGGGGCAGCACGGGAGUAGCAAUACAACUGGUGGCGACCGGCGCACGGGUGAGUAACGCGUAUGCAACCUACCUAUCAGAGGGGAAUAACCCGGCGAAAGUCGGACUAAUACCGCAUAAAACAGGGGCACCGCAUGGUGAUAUUUGUUAAAGAAAUUCGCUGAUAGAUGGGCAUGCGUUCCAUUAGGUAGUUGGUGAGGUAACGGCUCACCAAGCCGACGAUGGAUAGGGGAACUGAGAGGUUGGUCCCCCACACUGGUACUGAGACACGGACCAGACUCCUACGGGAGGCAGCAGUGAGGAAUAUUGGUCAAUGGGCGAGAGCCUGAACCAGCCAAGUCGCCGUGAAGGAAGAAGGAUCUAUGGUUCGUAAACUUCUUUUGCAGGGGAAUAAAGUGCGGGACGUGUCCUGUUUUGUAUGUACCCUGAGAAUAAGGAUCGGCUAACUCCGUGCCAGCCGCCGC